GUGUAUUUCUCAGUUACUCGUCUGGCAUCAGCCUCCGCAGUCACACACGGCUUGGCCACUGACGAGGAGCUUGACCCCGGACAAAUCAGGAUUAGCAUCUAUACUCUGAAGCCGGGGGACAUGGAAAUCUGAUGGCUGGAAUCUUCCACAAAAGCAGGACGCAGGGCAGCCUCAGGAUGCACAGCCUUCCCCAUGAAGGACUUGCCUCGUGCACCCGCAGUCUGGGGACACAGCGGUCCUCACAGACUGAAUGUGUCGGAGCCCUGAGGCCCUGGGGUCCAGGCCCCCGAUGAUCGUGGGCACGCUGAAGGCUCCGUCUCCCAGGCAGACGCGGGACAGCGCCUAGCUCAGGGCGAGGGCCGUGCCAUCGGCCAGGGCCCGGGCCCCGACCACAGACGCCCCUAGGUGCUCUCAGCCCACGAGACCAAGACAGCUCCUUUGGAUGGCCUUGGGUGACCCCCUCUGUCCAGUACGAAACCAAGG